rnacentral:lncRNA from 1 species
UCCCUCUCUGGCCCCCCUCAAGACCUCUCCUGGGCCCGGCACACACACACGUCUCCGUUUGCCUUGUCCCACCAUCUCAAGGCCCCUCCUGGUCCUGGAACAACACACACACACACACAUCUCCGUUUGCCUUGUCCCCCCUUCUCAAGGCCCCUCCUGGGCCCGACACACACACACACACACCUCUCUCUGUUUGCCUUGUCCCCGCAUCUCAAGGUCCCUCCUGGGCCCGCCACGUGCGCGCGCACGACACACACACACGCACACAUCUCCGUUUGCCUUGCCCCGCCUCAAGGCCCCUCCUGGGCCCAGCGCACACACACACACACACACACACACACACACACACACCUCUCUGUUUGCCUUGUCCUCCCGUCUCAAGGCCCCUCCUGGGCCCGCCGCGCACACACACACACACACGCACACGCACACCUCUCUGUUUGCCUUGUUCCCCCAUCUCAAGGCCCCUCCUGGGCCCGGCACAUACACACACACACAUGCACACCUCUCUGUUUGCCUUGUCCCCCCGCUUCUCAAGGCCCCUCCUGUGCCCAGCGCGUGCACACACACACACACACGCACACACAAACGUCUCCGUUUGCCUUGUCCCCACUCCCAGGUCCUCCCUGUAGGGGAACCAAAGAGGGGGUCUCCACCCCCAGGGAGGCCCACCCCUCAUUUAACGGCCCCCUCCCCUGCACUGCGCAGUGGCAGCCGGUUUUUCCUGAAGGCUGAGAGAAGGAAACACACACCCGCUGUGCCUCCGCAGAGCAGGGAGUUCCCCAUCUGUCCCCUCCGAGCGGCGCCCGACGUCCUGAUUGUCACUGAAGCCGGGGCUCAGGUGGAAGUGGCUGCUUGGAGCUGGAGCUGGGGUUCAAGAGAGGCGAAGGCAGCUCCUCCCUCCUCUUCUCCACGCACUCAGCGUCCACUCAAGCCUGCCCUCCAGGAGCUCAGUUCCAGGCUCCUCUGCCACUCCUCCCCGCCACAGCCACCUGCACCCCCCGCCCUGCAGUCAUCUGCUGCCCCUUACCCCUGCCCGGCCUGUCUCCGCAGUCCUGGCUCAGUCCUGGGGGCUGGAGGAUGGGGGGCUUGGUCUUCC